CGCGUGGGUAACCUGCCCAUAAACCCGGGACAACCCUUGGAAACGAGGGCUAAUACCGGAUAAUCUUAAGGAAGGACAUCCUUCGUUAAGGAAAGGUGGCCUCUGAAUAUGCUACCGAUUAUGGAUGGACCCGCGUCUGAUUAGCUAGUUGGUGGGGUAAAGGCCUACCAAGGCGACGAUCAGUAGCCGGCCUGAGAGGGUGAACGGCCACACUGGGACUGAGACACGGCCCAGACUCCUACGGGAGGCAGCAGUGGGGAAUCUUCCGCAAUGGACGAAAGUCUGACGGAGCAACGCCGCGUGUAUGACGAAGGCCUUCGGGUUGUAAAGUACUGUCUUCAGGGACGAACGGUAGAGGUGUAAAUAAUGCCUUUACAUGACGGUACCUGAGGAGGAAGCCCCGGCUAACUACGUGCCAGCAGCCGCGGUAAUACGUAGGGGGCAAGCGUUGUCCGGAAUCAUUGGGCGUAAAGGGCGCGUAGGCGGAUAUUUAAGUCUGGUGUGAAAUUUA
rnacentral:rRNA from 1 species